AUGUACAGUUUGGAAACAAUAGCUCUCUUGUGCACCGAUUUGCUGCAUGGACACCAGACCCCAAACGAAAACACUCACUGUGCCACCACUGUACCUGUGUCUUGUUCACACGUCUCUGUAAAAUGUAAUCUGUACCUUUCAGUAUCCUUACAGUCAGUAAAAUCAUUCCUCCAUAUAUAUGUUACAUAUACAAACAUACAUAUAUAGUUCUUCUCUAUAAUGAGGAACAGCAUGCAGUAAUCUCACUCAUUAAAGGGACAUUGUGUAGGAAUUUCUCCCAUCUAGCGGUGAAAUUGUAUUUUGCAUUCAAACGAAUAGUGCUCUCUAGUGCCUCGCGUUUUCAAAUGGGUAUUGCAACUAUGGUAGCCGUUAUGUACCAAGAAGCCUACCUGUCGAGGAGAAAGCAGGCAACUUCAGCGUUCCUUUGAAAGUCUUUCUCCUUCAUUAGCUCUUUCCAACUGGGAAAAGCUACCCUGAUGUUUACCCUUGUUUUUUUAAUUCGCCGGUCACGUUGCCUUUUUAAUUCCCUUUUUCCUUUUUGGCGACGAGGAUUCCUUCUCCUGUGGCUCGGCAUAAGUAUGACCCUCCAUUAUUAACUAAAGUGCAGUGCAGACUUUCAAAUGUGCCGGGGCAUUGACAAGCGCCUCUCACUGAUCUCCUCCGUUAUAGCUGGUUUCAGUCACGUGACGCUGGCUCUGAAGACAGGUAGGCUGGUGCUUUAUGUCCCUCUCGGCGAUUAUAGUUUUUCAAAAUGGCGGAACGACAUGGAAGCCUCCCUGGACUUGCCCGUCCAAUGUAUAUACAGAUAAGAAAUUCUUCGCUUACGAGGAUAAGUCAGAUCAUUGGCAGAGGUAAUUUUACACCAAUGAGGACACAUUUAUGAAUGAAGACAUUGAUUUUAGCUAAUAAAAUCCUUAAAACACUACACAAUGUCCCUUUAAUGAGAUAAUUAACCAGUUGUUAAAUAAAUACAAAUCAUUUUAUAAAUGUUUUAUAAGUAAAAGUGAUUACAUUUUUAUUUUUUAUGUGUUUUUUUUGUUUGCUUUGGAGGACUUUGUGAGUGAGGAGAAGGACUUUAAGUUAUGUUUGAGCCAACAGGAUGAAUCCAAGUCCAAUAUUCACUCUCCUUCACUCCAUUUGGUCUUGGCUUUUUAGCUGCUAAAUGCUCAGAUAUUCUAUGGUGAAAAGCAGGCAAUGGACUUGAAUUGAUGUGCACAGAAUAGUAAGCAUAAGCUGUGGAAACUAACAUUCAACACAACAACACCUGCUGCCCACGUAGCAAAAUAUGCAUGUUGUUUGUGAUUAGGGAAGAAAACAUAGUCUCAAAUUAUUAAAAUGUUUAUUUAUAGAUCAAAUAAACAACAGAAACAGUAAUAGACAGUAAUUGUAACUGAUAACUACAGUUUAUGUAUUACGGUCCUUUUUAAUCAAUUCAACAAACAUUCAUAUUCGUUAUUGGGAUCAGAUAAAUAUAGAAAGGGCUGCUAUUCUCCAAAGACGUCUGAAGUUCUUCUACAAACGUGUGAACUAUUGCAGUGUUAAAAACAGCUUCUAUUUCUUUUCUAAUAACUGACAUAAAACUGUUGGUAACCAUUUCUUUCCAGUUCUCUCCCAAAAUUUCAAAGAUUUUAUUCUGCACUUCUGCAGGAAAUUCCAAUGAAGAAAUGAAUUCCUCUCCACGGAGCAAAUGUUCUUCCAAAUUAUGUGAACUUUUAACCUGAUCCUCAAGACAAUCAGGAGAAGAUCUAAUAUCAGAUUUUAGUUGGUUUCUAUCUCGGGCUUCAACAUUAGAUAGUAAUUGAUAGACACCAUCAGCUUGAACAUUAGUUCUGAAAUUGUUGCUGUUUAAUAUGAAGGGGGUUUUCUUUUAUUUGAAUUCCUUCAAAUAUUGUAAAUCGCUCUAAGAUGAGAUGUUGGAAUAAUGUGAGAGAUUAUUUGAUCCAAAUGGCCCCCAACACUUUCUGAAUUCCACAGAAGUAAAAAUCCCAUAUUCUAUAUAUGUAACUGGUCCUCAGUUACCUGCUGCAUAAAAGAAACAAAUCAUAGAUUUAAAGAAAAUGUAAAAAUACCAGGGGAUCGUCACAUUUUCUCACCUUAUUUCCCAUCACUGAUUG
rnacentral:lncRNA from 15 species